GACGGAGGAUGCAAGCGUUAUCCGGAAUUAUUGGGCGUAAAGCGUCCGCAGGUGGCACUUCAAGUCUGUCGUCAAAGACUGGGGCUUAACCCUGGAAAGGCGGUGGAAACUGAAGCGCUAGAGUGUGGUAGGGGUAGAGGGAAUUCCCGGUGUAGCGGUGGAAUGCGUAGAGAUCCGGAAGAACACCAGUGGCGAAGGCGGCCCGCUGGGCAGUGGCUGACGCUGAAGCGCGACAGCGUGGGGAGCAAACAGG
rnacentral:rRNA from 1 species